CCUUCGUCCACGCCCCACGCACGCCGCAUCUUCCUCGCUAACUCCUCCGGUUAUGCGGGCGAGAAUGAGGCCCUCAGAUCCCGUCACCGCCCCCACGCCAUUGGCACAGACCCCCCAUCCCGUCGCUAGGUGGAGGAUGCCGCGGAGGCAGCCGUGCCAACGACGAGCGUAGGACGCGGGUGGACUUCCCUCGCCCUGCUCUGCCGCCCCUGCAGCCCUCAUCAUCCUCGCGCUUCUCCCGAACCGGCGUCUCCCGUCCGCCUCGGCGCCUUCCGUAGCAGGCCAGGGCCGGAGCCGAGAAUGAAGCGUCCGCACGCGUCCAUCUCUCCCUUCGAGCCCCUUCGAUGCGCCCCCGACUGUCGCCGCCAUCUUCACUGGAAGCUCUACGAUGGUCAAGACUGGGGAAGGAUGCCGAAGAUGUAGAGGUUGUUGCCCCAGUGACGCUGGAGCCCAUUCAAAGGAACAGAAGAUGCGCGUUUUUCCUCCUGACCAUUUGAGUGGUGUUCUGUGCAAUUUAUGCUUGUUUUGAAAAUUUGGUUAUAGACGUCGAAUUUAUCUCCAAUCAUCUGUUGUACUAUAUCUUCUACAAUCUUUCAUAUUUUAGCAUGAAUUUUUUAAAAUUUGUGGUAGGAAGCUUGUAUGCCAUUCAUGGAUUGGACAACAUACAUGUGCUAUUUUCUUUUGAUUAUCCCCUUCCAGACUGUUCGGGGUUUCUAGAUCAGAAUAGUUUGUCCAAUAUACCUCUUUGGAUCUCAGAGAAUUCAGAAUAAGUUCUUACAACAAUCCUUACUAGAUAAAUCAUGUA